rnacentral:rRNA from 1 species
UACGUAGGGUGCAAGCGUUAAUCGGAAUUACUGGGCGUAAAGCGUGCGCAGGCGGUGAUGUAAGACCGAUGUGAAAUCCCCGGGCUCAACCUGGGAACUGCAUUUGUGACUGCAUCGCUGGAGUGCGGCAGAGGGGGAUGGAAUUCCGCGUGUAGCAGUGAAAUGCGUAGAGAUGUGGAGGAACACCGAUGGCGAAGGCAGCCCCCUGGGUCAACACUGACGCUCAUGCACGAAAGCGUGGGGAGCAAACAGG